GGUCCCAAUAGAGGAUUUGGAUAAAUCUCACAUCUUUAUUGGUCUAAAUCCAGAAUUUUAUACUUUAGCUCUGAACUUCAGUUUCCGAAUGGACAGUCAGUGAUUUCAUUCUAAUCUUUGGAGGAUGAACAAUGUGCAAUACUGAUGAUUCACUCACUAAUGGAUAAUCCAAACAAAGCACUCUCGAUAUCAUCUAGAAGUGCCAUCCCUCUUUCAUCCAUUGCUGAAAUAAGAAUUUACUUCCACCAAGUCAUCAUGAGCAAGUAGCUCUGGG